rnacentral:rRNA from 1 species
UACGUAGGGUGCAAGCGUUGUCCGGAAUUAUUGGGCGUAAAGAGCUCGUAGGCGGUUUGUCGCGUCUGCUGUGAAAACUCGGGGCUUAACCCCGGGCCUGCAGUGGGUACGGGCAGACUAGAGUGCGGUAGGGGAGACUGGAAUUCCUGGUGUAGCGGUGAAAUGCGCAGAUAUCAGGAGGAACACCAAUGGCGAAGGCAGCUCGCUGGGACGGUACUGACGCUGAGGCGCGAAAGCGUGGGGAGCGAACAGG